AUGCUUCUGCAUGAGGUGCAUCUUGAUGAGCUUGCUGAGAAGGACAUAGUAUGGAAACACUCGGACUCCGGGCAUUACUCUGCGACCUCUGCUUACAGGGCACAAUUUUUGGGUUUGGUCCUCUCUCCCAUGGACCAAAUGGUUUGGAAGCCUUGGGCCCCACCGAAGGUCAAGUUCUUUGCUUGGCUCGCGCUGCAAGAUAGAAUUUGGACCGCCAACAGACUGGCUAAGCGGGGUUGGCCAAAUUGUGGCCCUUGCCCCUUGUGCAGGGGAGUGCAAGAAUGUGGAACACAUCUAUUCUUCAGAUGCCACUUCACGUUGAGGCUUUGGAAUUAG
rnacentral:rRNA from 1 species